AGCAGAGACCUGCGGGAGAGAGCAGAAGAGAGAUUGGAGAGAAUGAACUAUGUUUAUUAAGCAGAGAAAAGAGUGUAAAAGUUGAUUUUGCAGUUAAAAAAACAUAACUUACCUGAUCAGGGAUUGACAGGGAUUUUAUGAGAACUAAGCCACAACGGUUUUGGUCAGGUUUUUUUUUAUGUGCUUAAUUUGAGGCUCUGUCGGAGCGAGGAUUGAUCUGCAGUGUGCAGGUGUGCACACGUGCGGACGGGAUUCAAGAUGGCGAGCCAGACCCAGAUUUGCAAAUCAUCUUCUUCAUCACAUCAGUGAGGAAACCUUUUGAGUACAGUGACUCGCUGCCAGAGCGGUAGGAGUAUAAGAAAUUGUUUUUGGAUCGAAUUGAACUCUGAUUGAACUAUUAUUUGCGGACUGAAUCGAACUGAAACUCUUCAUUGAACUGAAUAAUUUAACUCCCAUUGAACUCAAACUGAAUUAAAGACACACACUUCUAAUUUCACAUUGAGUUCAUAUGUUGAAAUGUGAUUUGAAAUGUGAUUUGAAAUAUGAUUUAUAAUGUUUAUGGUUAAUUUUGAUUUGAUUGUUUGAAUUGAAGGUAUUUUCUUGCCUGUAAAAGAAAAGGAAAAAGGGUUUAUUCAGGAAGAAAAAAUAGGGAUUAAAAAAUAGGUUAAACCUAGGAAAGGACCGGUCUAACUUAGAUUAGUCUAAUUAAAAGUGCCUAGGUGAAUUGAAUAACAAAAAGAGAGUGAAACACAAUUUAUUUUUAUUUUUAUUUCUUGAAUAUUUUAUACUUACCUCGAUAUUGAGAACCUGCAGGGUAUAUUUUCUUGUUUUACAUUUUCAUGGUUCUGUAUAUUUCAUGUGUUUUGCAUACAGUAAAUAGACGGCCUUUUGUAUUUAAA